UUUAUGGAGAGUUUGAUCCUGGCUCAGGAUGAACGCUGGCGGCGUGCCUAAUACAUGCAAGUCGAGCGAAUGGACGAGAAGCUUGCUUCUCUGAUGUUAGCGGCGGACGGGUGAGUAACACGUGGAUAACCUACCUAUAAGACUGGGAUAACUUCGGGAAACCGGAGCUAAUACCGGAUAAUAUUUUGAACCGCAUGG
rnacentral:rRNA from 1 species